GGAUCAUGCAGAGGUUUUUUUUUCUGUCACAAGGCAUUGGCUGGGCCCUAGGGCUCUUGGAGUUCUCUGUGUUACAAGGAUGUUUUUUGGAGACCACAUUAUGGAACAUACAUAGCCCAGGGCAGUGUAGACAGGACUUCUGGGAGCUUUUAAAUGCCCUGGCCAACCUUACUGGAUGUGGGAAGGAAGACACUUGGGUGCAGAGAGGUGCUGAAGGCUCCUAGGAAGCAGAGCAGAAGAAUACCUUAUGCUGUGGGGACACAAUCGCUGGAAUCUCUGAAAAGUGUCACGCAGCUGCUUUGGGGAAAGUGGAGCUCCCACCUCAAGGCUGUGGCUGAUUUUGGGUGCUGGCAAGGGUCUGUGAAGUAUCUGGCUUGGAGAAGCUGACAGUGAAACACCUCCAGGAGAGGAUGUCAGAAGCAAGAGGGAGGCAGUGAGGAGGUGAUAAGGUAUAGCUGAGUUUGAUAAGAGCCCCUGACUCCUCCAGUAAUUGCAAGAAAGGAACACUUCAGCAGUGAAGUGCCAUACUCUGCUGAACAAACUUGGCAUCUCAUCAAGCUGACUUAUUUGCUUAUCCAGGAAGAAAGCUCCUAGCUAUAUCUAAGACUGCACCAUUGCCAGAAUUACCGUGGCCUCCAUAAGUCCCCAAGGUGUUCUCCUGAUGGAAAGGCAUCGUGUGUUAGGGCUGCUCCAGCCCACGGGCUGAGCCUCUUCUAAACGAUUCAAAAGCCACCAAAGCUCUGUCCUUGCUUUCACCUCUCGUGCCUCUGCACUCACUGCUGUCAUAGCCAGUGCUGAACGUGAGAUUGAACAGCCAGCAAACAACAAAAAACUUCCAUCAAACUUUUCAACUUACUUGACUGUGUCCUCACCACGCUCCACUCUCUGGAUGUGAUCCUCUCACAAUUCUCAGUGACUACACCAACCAUCUCCUCCACUGCAGGCUCCGACAGUGCCACAGCAAAAGGCUGCCUGCCUGCCUCCCUGCAUGCCAGCAACCAAAGACAUCUCACAACAGCUUUCUAGGCAUUUCUGAGAUCUACAGAAUGCACAAAGCAACCUGGAGCUGUUUCUCCCACUUGUGUGGAGCUCUGCUGGGUGUCCCAGUAUUACCCAAGGAAAGGGACAUGCUGUUGCCUGCUGCUAGAGCAGCUGCACUCGCUGUUUGGAAACAUCUACACAAUCAGCCUGCAGAGGAAUGGCCAGUUCCAUGUUCAUCUGGGUGAAAGUUCCAGAAGCCAUGAACUCCAACACCAGGGUAUAAACUGUGAGAAGCCCCACCCAUGCCUUAUUCAGCUGGGAAGCUGUGGGAUCAGAGGAGCUGUAGCUUGUAAAACAUGUGGUGAAGAGGUCAGCAAGGCCACCACCAGCUCCUAGCAAGUCCUAAACCCUUGUCCUAAAAGCUGCUGCCAGAGCCUUCCCAGGUGGAGGAGAGGUGACCAAACUGACGCUCAGGGCCACUACUGAAGGCUUCUUGUGGCCCAGAAUGGCACAGCCCCACUCUAGGAACUCAUAAAGUGGUAGUGCUGGGGAAGGGUUCUCUGGUCAGCUUCCCAGGAGACCCUGGAGUUCCCUGCUCAGCUGUGGGUCUGUGUGUGCAGGUGGUGGCCUCUGAAGUCCUCUGCACCACAGACACAUGAUGGGCACACAUCAUGGCUGGUCAAAAGCUACCUUUCUCAUGGUCACUGCCCAGGUAACAGCAGAGCCUGGGAAUGCCACUAAAUCUAUUUGGACUACAGCCUCCAGAUAGUUUGUCAGGCACCUUACAGUUGUCUCCACAAGGCUGGAGACCCUUCCACCAGAACACACAUUCUUAGGCCAGGCCUGCUCAGAGACAUGUAAUACCAAGAGCAGCUCUCUGCUCUUCCAGCUUUAAAGGGGAUCUGGAGUCUGCAAAGACUGCUAGUGCCAGCAGAAACUGCCCAUGAAUGAUCUGCAUUAUCAUUUCUCUGGUAAUGCUACAAAAAGUGUUUAAAAGCUCGAAAGCUAAUUAGAUAGAAGUUAAGUUAAACCACCAUGAUGUAAGCAACACGUCCAUCAGGAUUCUGUUCUUUUAGCGAUGCAGAGAAUGAAAAUCAACCCAGUUUCUGGCUUUGGGAAGGAGGAAAAAUAUUUGCCCAAUAAAUCUUAACCUGGUGGUAUAAAAGCCAAGUCUGAAAAUGGCCUGAGAAAUGUAGCUUAGGAAAUAGCAGCAAUAAAGAACCUGCAUGUGUGAUCACUCCAUGCUGAAAUGCUUUCAGAUGGGUAUCUCAUCAUCUCCCUUUCCAUCGUGCCUCUCUCUCAGUCCUGCCAGUGCCUCCCCUCUGGGUAACCAGCAACACUUGUCUUUGUCUGCAGCCAAAGCCAUUCCUGACUGAGGACUCCACAAGAUGUAGAUAAGGCUCCAUUACUUCUGGAUACUGGAUAAUCAGUUCAACUGCCUUAGCAUUAAUCAUGAUAAUAUUCAAAAUUCAUUAGGCUAGAUUGUUUGGAAAUCUAUUUCUUGUUAAUGUCAGAUUCGCUGAGCAUCAGCCUGGCAGCAUACAGACAGAAAACUGAUACAAGCCAGGGCAUGCCACCUCUCUAUGGAAGCAUUCCCUUUUUUCAUGUGUAGCUAGACCGUGAUGUGGCAGCUCCUGCCUGGUUUGUGUUGUGUGAAUCUUGUCAAGAGCAGUAGAACACCGUGAGUACACUAUGCUGCCAGUUUGUUGAUCAAGGGACAGCUACAAAAAUAUAUAGCUGCAUAUAUAAUAUACAGUUAAUAAUAUAUACAACAUAUACCAUGGAGAUUUUAAGGGGAAAAGCUAGACAGUCAGAUCUGCACCUACAAAUCGUAAUGGUUUUGUAUCUAAAACCUGGACAAGCAACCCAGAAACUUCUAUGUACAAGCAUGGUAUGGAGGAAUAAAAAUAGAAAGUCUU